UUGGUUCAGAGUUUGUUUUGAUAUUUUAACCUGCGUGUUGUGAUGACGUUUGGUGUGGGAGGGCAAAAUAAAUGUAUGCACGAUAGCGCACGUGCGCAGUCGGUAUGGGUUCCGUGUUACACUCGAAAUUAGUUGGCAACAAUUCAUUUUCUCCACCUUACACUUCAAACGAACGUACUAGUUGACUUUUCCUGUCGGCGGGUAUUGCAUCGUUAUUUGUGAUUACCAGAAAUAAGUAGGUGGGUCAGCUAUGGCGGUGGCGGUCUAUGAAGAAACUGAAUGCAGAAAACUGCCCUGCACAGGACACAAACCUUCCACCAGAAACAAGCUCAGCACUGGAAUCUGGUACCUCCAUCUCUAGCAGUAGAGAGGUGUUGCCAGCUCCACCAACAGCUAUCCUGGAGAAUAUUAAUGACUCUGGAGAGAUAAACCUGAACUUGGCUGAGGGAGGCAAGGGUGGGGGAAGUGUAGAGGGUAUUCACUGGUGAUGAGGAUACAAGUGGGAUUGUUAAAGAGCUGAGUUGGAACUCAGGUUACCGUGAUAAGGAGGAAAGGAGAGAUGCUUUCUCAGAGGGUGUGAGUGACAGUCAGUGGAGAGAGGGAGACUGCUUUGUCCCAGUUGGAGUAGAGGUGACUGAGAUGGCUGCUGAGGGGGAGUUUGAAGAUGGGAUGAGAGCUGAAAUGAAAGAGGGAAAGGGGACAAACCGUUAUGAGUCAGGGGAGGAGUUGGUUGCUGAGAGGGCUGUGAAGAGAGAGCUUGAAGAGAAAGAUACAGAGGGAAAACUAGUCCUAGAGAAAGAACACAAGGUGGCUCCCAAGAGGAAGAAUAUAAGGAAACUCAGAUGAUCAGCCAAACCUCAACGUGACAAAGAGGCAAAUUCCAGUGCUUCCUUUGUAGAGACUGUUCUCUCAUGGCUACUGUCAGUCUUCCUAUGGUUGCAGGCAUUCUCACCAACAAUGUUAUGCUGGUCCCCAAUUAAGUUGUAAGAUAUGUACAUGGGAUCCAUUUUCAGGGUCAAGUCCAUUUGAAUUCAGGUAGUACACUGAAAUUCCAAUUCCACAUUUUCUCUUGGAGAAGCAUUAAGGAAAAUUGGAAUUUCAGUUUACAUUCUGAAUUUAAAUGGAAUUGACUCCAACCCUGAUGUGAUCCAUAUGCUAUAGAUAUGCCUCUAAUAUUUUCUUUCUCUGUAGAUAGUUUAUUUUGUAUAGUCAUGCUUGGGGUGGCAUCUGGCACUGGGGGUGUCUUUACAAGCACCGGUGAAGAUGGAUCAAACAUUUUGCCAUACUUUUUUUUCUGUACAUUUAACAGAACAGGCAUUUCUUAUGCCAAGUGCAUUGUCUUUCUGUGUGCCAUUGUAGAUCACCAGAGUUUGUCAUGCAUCGCCUGCAAGAGUCCUGGAUGUGCUGCUGAUGUGACUAAGAUAUGGUGUGGGGAGGAUGAACUGUUGAAGGGUUUACCGAUCCCACUCUGCACAAGCUUUUCCCAAAAGUCCAAGACUGUUUGCCAGCAUGAUGGUCGGACAUUUGUGCUUAUGAUUGAAGAGGGCAAGAAGUGUGAUAUGGAACAAUCUCAUGACCAUGUGCCCUCAGAAAAGACAGUGUCCACCAUUGUUGGAGGCUGCUCAAGACUCAAGGUUGGACACUGUUCGAGGCAAGCUCUCUGUCCAUAGGGUCUGUUUAUGCAACAGACAAAAACAUGUUUCUGAGUUAACUUAAAAUAUUACAUUUUCAUUGUUUAGUUUUUGAAUCUUAUUUAAUUUUUUAUCUUGUUUACAUAGGUGACACUUUGUCAGCACCAACUCUCAAUGGUGAGCUAUAACAGAAGGGUUAGGUUUUAACUGUAUUAUUCUGAAUUAUUAACUAGGUAGUUUGAGCCCCGAAUGCCGAUUUGGCUGACAGCUGUGGUAUAUCAGACCAUAUUCCACGGAUAUGACAGAACAUGUAUUUUUACCGAUCUAAUUACAUUGGUAACCAGUUUAUAGUAGCCAUAAGGCACCUCAUGGGUUUGUGGUAUAUGUCACGGCUAAGGUCUGUAUCCAGGCACUCCAUGUUGCGUUGUGCAUAAGAACAGGCCUUAGGCGGGGUAUAUUGGCAAUAUCCCCCCCCCCCCCCCUAUUUAGUUAGAUUUGUGCGUUGUUUGUAGCUUAUUUUGUACAUAAUGCUGCUGCUUCCGUCUCUUAUGAAAGAGAAUAACUUCUGGACAUCAGAACUGGGAUUACUCUUCACGGACUGGAAGAAGCUUUGUCCUUUCAACGAGUCAGACGAGAAAGCUGUACAGGUCCAGAUACAUGUCAUUUGUGUGAAGAAAAGACGGAGGAAUAGAGGACGCAGAUCAGGCUGCCUUUUACGAAUCCGUAGGCGAGCGAGUAAACUCCCAUUGCCAUCAAUUCUACUUGCUAACAUGCAAUCAUUGGAAAAUAAAAUGGAUGACCUACGAUUAUCCUACCAACGGA